GACGAACGCUGGCGGCGUGCCUAAUACAUGCAAGUAGAACGCUGAAGGAGGAGCUUGCUUCUCUGGAUGAGUUGCGAACGGGUGAGUAACGCGUAGGUAACCUGCCUGGUAGCGGGGGAUAACUAUUGGAAACGAUAGCUAAUACCGCAUAAUAGUAGAUGUCGCAUGACAUUUGCUUAAAAGGUGCAAUUGCAUCACUACCAGAUGGACCUGCGUUGUAUUAGCUAGUUGGUGAGGUAACGGCUCACCAAGGCAACGAUACAUAGCCGACCUGAGAGGGCGAUCGGCCACACUGGGACUGAGACACGGCCCAGACUCCUACGGGAGGCAGCAGUAGGGAAUCUUCGGCAAUGGACGGAAGUCUGACCGAGCAACGCCGCGUGAGUGAAGAAGGUUUUCGGAUCGUAAAGCUCUGUUGUAAGAGAAGAACGAGUGUGAGAGUGGAAAGUUCACACUGUGACGGUAUCUUACCAGAAAGGGACGGCUAACUACGUG
rnacentral:rRNA from 1 species